UGGGGAAUCUUGCGCAAUGGGCGAAAGCCUGACGCAGCAACGCCGCGUGAGCGAAGAAGGCCUUCGGGUUGUAAAGCUCUGUCAGGGGGAAAGAAGGCACCUGGGUUAAUAGCCCAAGGGCUGACGGUACCCCCAAAGGAAGCCACGGCUAACUACGUGCCAGCAGCCGCGGUAAUACGUAGGUGGCAAGCGUUGUCCGGAAUCAUUUGGGCGUAAAGAGCGCGUAGGUGGCUUGUCAGGUCUGAUGUGAAAUUUCGGGGCUCAACCCCGAACGUGCAUCGGAAACCGGCUUGCUAGAGUCUGGGAGAGGAGAGUGGAAUUCCUGGUGUAGCGGUGAAAUGCGUAGAUAUCAGGAGGAACACCGGUAGCGAAGGCGGCUCUCUGGAACAGUACUGACGCUGAGGCGCGAAAGCUAGGGGAGCGAACAGGAUUAGAUACCCUGGUAGUCCUAGCCGUAAACGAUGGACACUAGGUGUCGGGGGUGUC
rnacentral:rRNA from 1 species